AAAAAUUAAAAAGUAAAAGCAAAUACGUCAACUACUAAUUAGUCUAAACUAUUACAUGUGAAUCUAUAUUCACAUCAAAUCUUCUCUACUUUGACUUCGAUGGUCGGAGAAAAUUUCUUUCUCUUAUUUUUGCUUCCAUAAAUUUUUUCAAUGUGCAAUCAUCAUCAUCGCUUGUUAUGUCAAUAUAAUCAUCAAGAACUUUUUUUGUGAUUUUUCGUUUCCCCCCUUCCUUGCACUUCAUGAGGCUGCACUUGUAACUCUGUCGCUCUAGUUUGCUUGGUCUUUUUAGUUGUUUUUUUUUAUUUCUCCCACUUCAUUUGACAUGGCCUUCUUGACUAUUUUUUUCUUUCCAUUUUUUUGUUUUGUCUUGGGUGCAUUCUUAACUAUUUCUUCCCUUGCUUCUUCAUGAUCUUUUGAUUCUUCAAUUAAUGGUACCAUCGAUUUCAUUACAGCAUUCAUCGGGUCACAUUCUAUCUUUUGGAUUGCACUUGCUAUAAGAUUUAGCUUUCCCCUAUCAU
rnacentral:lncRNA from 1 species